rnacentral:rRNA from 1 species
UACGGAGGGUGCAAGCGUUAUCCGGAUUCACUGGGUUUAAAGGGUGCGUAGGUGGGCAGGUAAGUCAGUGGUGAAAUCCCCAAGCCUAACUUGGGAACUGCCAUUGAUACUAUUUGUCUUGAAUACCGUGGAGGUGAGCGGAAUAUGUCAUGUAGCGGUGAAAUGCUUAGAUAUGACAUAGAACACCAAUUGCGAAGGCAGCUUGCUACGCGGAUAUUGACACUGAUGCACGAAAGCGUGGGGAUCAAACAGG